GAUGAACGCUAGCUACAGGCUUAACACAUGCAAGUCGAGGGACCGGCGCACGGGUGAGUAACACGUAUCCAACCUGCCCUUUACUCGGGGAUAGCCUUUCGAAAGAAAGAUUAAUACCCGAUAUAAAGCAUGGGGAUGCGUUCCAUUAGGUUGUUGGUGAGGUAACGGCUCACCAAGCCUUCGAUGGAUAGGGGUUCUGAGAGGAAUGUCCCCCACAUUGGAACGGAGACACGGCCUAAACUCCGACGGUAUGCAGCAGUGUGGAAUAUUGGUUACUCGGCGCUAGCCUGAACCAGCCAAGUAGCGGGAAGAAUGAAGGCGUAUGGGUCGUAAAUUUCUUUUAUGUAAGACUAUGUAUUAUAUGAAGAAGGAUCGGCUAACUCCGUGCCAGCAGCCGCGGUAAUUC
rnacentral:rRNA from 1 species